rfam:Bacillus sp. MRMR6 scaffold_10, whole genome shotgun sequence.
GCGGGUGUAGUUUAGUGGUAAAACCUCAGCCUUCCAAGCUGAUGAUGUGAGUUCGAUUCUCAUCACCCGCU